rnacentral:rRNA from 1 species
GACGAACGCUGGCGGCAUGCCUAAUACAUGCAAGUCGAGCGAACAGAUGGAGUGCUUGCACUUCUGACGUUAGCGGCGAACGGGUGAGUAACACGUAAGGAGUCUACCUAUAAGCGGGGGAUAACAUUCGGAAGCGGGUGCUAAUACCGCAUAAUAUCUUCUUCCGCAUGGAAGAAGAUUGAAAGACGGCUCUGCUGUCACUUAUAGAUGACCUUGCGGUGCAUUAGUUAGUUGGUGGGGUAACGGCCUACCAAGACGAUGAUGCAUAGCCGCACUGAGAGGGGGAUCGGGCCCAUUUGGACCGAGACAGCGCCCAAAAUCCCACGGGAGGCAGCAGUAGGGAAUCUUCCGCAAUGGGCGAAAGCCUGACGGAGUAAUGCCGCGUGGAGGAAGAAGGCCUUCGGGUCGUAAAACUCUGUUAUAAGAGAAGAACAAAUUGUAGAGUAACUGCUACAGUCUUGACGGUAUCUUAUCCGAAAGCCACGGCUAACUACGUGCCAGCAGCCGCAGUAA